AUGCAUCUCGCCGCCGACUACCCCCACCGCGGCGGUGGCCGCCUCGGCCUAGGGCCAUUCGCGGCAGCGGUGCUCCGCACCGACAACCGUCGCCGUGCGAUUGCAGGCGGCGCGGUCCUCGCCUCGGCGCUGCUUCUCGUGGCCACACCACGACUCCGCCACUCGCCGGCGCUCCACCUCUUCGCCGACAUGCGCAACCUCCUCGGCGUGCCCAACACCCUCAACGUGCUCACCGCCUACCCGCUUCUCCUUGCUGGAGUACCAGGACUCAUCCUGUGCCUCUUCGGCGGUGGAUGCUUCGGCAUAAGCUUAAGGUGGGAGGCCUUGGGAUGGUUCCUCUUCUAUGUGGGGAAUGUAGGGGCAGCAUUUGGCUCAGCUUACUAUCACCUCAAGCCAGAUGAUGACCGGUUAAUUUGGGACAGGUUGCCGAUGAUGAUGUCGGCCUCCUCGCUUUUGUCGAUAUUGGUAAUUGAAAGAGUUGAUGAGAGGGCUGGGUUAUCUUGUUUGAUCUCGCUCUUGUCUCUUUUACUGGUGAGCAGUGCGUGUGAAAGGAUUCUUGAUGAUAUGCGCCUGUGGGUAGUUUUAAACCUGGUUCCUUGUGUUGCCAUUCCUGCAAUGCUAUUCUUGUUCGCGCCAAAGUAUACACACUCAAGAUUUUGGUUUCUUGCUACAGGCUUUUACCUUCUGGCAAGAUUCGAAGGCCUUGCCGACAGAAAGGUUUACAGUGUGAAUAGAUAUUUCAUUAGCGGUCAUUCCUUGGAGCACCUUUGCUUCGCCAUGGUUACAUUGAUACUUACUGUGAUGCUAUCCUUCAGAAAUAUUAAGAUCACCAGGGACUCGUGA
rnacentral:rRNA from 1 species